rnacentral:rRNA from 1 species
GUGGGGAAUAUUGGACAAUGGGCGCAAGCCUGAUCCAGCCAUGCCGCGUGAGUGAUGAAGGCCCUAGGGUUGUAAAGCUCUUUCACCGGUGAAGAUAAUGACGGUAACCGGAGAAGAAGCCCCGGCUAACUUCGUGCCAGCAGCCGCGGUAAUACGAAGGGGGCUAGCGUUGUUCGGAUUUACUGGGCGUAAAGCGCACGUAGGCGGAUCGUUAAGUCGGGGGUGAAAUCCUGGAGCUCAACUCCAGAACUGCCUUCGAUACUGGCGAUCUUGAGUCCGGAAGAGGUGAGUGGAACUCCUAGUGUAGAGGUGGAAUUCGUAGAUAUUAGGAAGAACACCAGUGGCGAAGGCGGCUCACUGGUCCGGUACUGACGCUGAGGUGCGAAAGCGUGGGGAGCAAACAGGAUUAGAAACCCUGGUAGUCC